rnacentral:lncRNA from 1 species
GGGCAGAGUCGGGGCUGGGAGAUUAGAGAGCCCCUCCCAGGGCCUUUCCCUCCCGCCUGGCCUGGCUCCUGCUCUGGACUCCUUGAUGGAUGUUGAAGCCCACAGGGCUGCAGACUCCUCCUCCUUCCUGGGCACAGGCCAGGUCACCCCACUCCGGCCUGCCCACUCCUGCAGUCAUCUUUGUCUUCAGACCAAAUGCACAAGUACUUUGUUAAAGGUAUCCCAUCUGCAGCUCAAGCCUGCAGCCCCUCACCUUUUGGUGGCUCCUCAGGCCUCUAGGCCUUAUUCACCUUUCCCCUUUCCUGUGCCACUUCUCCUCUAGGGCGCCAGGCUGUCCUUGGCAUGGUCCGGAAGGCAAAGUACCGGGAGCUGCUCCUAUCAGAGCUCCUGGGCCGGCGGGUGCCUGUCGUGGUGCGGCUUGGCCUCACCUACCAUGUGCACGACCUCAUUGGGGCCCAGCUAGUGGACUGCAUCUCUACCACUUCAGGAACCCUCCUCCGCCUGCCAGAGACAUGAAGAUUCUGCUCAUCAUUGCUCAGCUCCUCAGAGUGGGCCGGGAGGGGACUAGAAGAGCUGCAUGAUGGUGGCUGAGACAGGGUCACCUUGGGAAGGCUUGGGAGCCAGGAUGAGUGUCGGGCUCUCGUGUGUGCAAAAGGUCAGAUGUGACUGCUGCUGUUUGCCUGGUUUCUGACCCAGUGGUGGGGUUUGAGCAAUGCUUCUCUGCCCUUCCAUGGAAAGUGGAACCAGAAAUGGUGCCAAGGCUGUGGCUGUUCCCUUUCGUGUAAAAUGGUGCUGUUAUUACUCUGUCUUGAAAUAGGAAGGUGGGAUUUCUGGGGAGGCUGGUGAAGGAGGGCAGGGUUCUUUUCUCUACGUGUCAUGUUAAAAUUGCCAAAUAAAGUACCUCUGCCUGUGAUAUUUUCUGGAUGUCCUUUAUUUACUGUGACGUGUGUUUGGGUGCCUUGUUUAGGGGUAGAGGUGAAGUCUGAGCUUUGCCUCAUUCAGAGAGGAAAGGGGUCAGGGGUUCACUCUGACGUUCAGGCCAUUCUCCCUGUGGAGUGGUGAGGGUGUACCUAAUCUCCUAAACCAC